rnacentral:rRNA from 1 species
AUGAGGAGCUUGCUCCUCUGAGAGUUAGCGGCGGACGGGUGAGUAACACGUAGGCAACCUGCCCUCAAGAUUGGGAUAACUACCGGAAACGGUAGCUAAUACCGGAUAAUUUAUUUCACUGCAUGGUGGAAUAAUGAAAGGCGGAGCAAUCUGCUACUUGAGGAUGGGCCUGCGGCGCAUUAGCUAGUUGGUGAGGUAACGGCCCACCAAGGCGACGAUGCGUAGCCGACCUGAGAGGGUGAACGGCCACACUGGGACUGAGACACGGCCCAGACUCCUACGGGAGGCAGCAGUAGGGAAUCUUCCGCAAUGGACGAAAGUCUGACGGAGCAACGCCGCGUGAGUGAUGAAGGUUUUCGGAUCGUAAAGCUCUGUUGCCAGGGAAGAACGCUUAGGAGAGUAACUGCUCCUGAGGUGACGGUACCUGAGAAGAAAGCCCCGGCUAACUACGUGCCAGCAGCCGCGGUAAUACGUAGGGGGCAAGCGUUGUCCGGAAUUAUUGGGCGUAAAGCGCGCGCAGGCGGUUCUUUAAGUCUGGUGUUUAAACCUGGGGCUCAACUUCAGGUCGCACUGGAAACUGGGGAACUUGAGUGCAGAAGAGGAGAGUGGAAUUCCACGUGUAGCGGUGAAAUGCGUAGAUAUGUGGAGGAACACCAGUGGCGAAGGCGACUCUCUG